CAUGUUAUGCAGGUAAUAGCUUACGCAGGCAAUGAACAGUAGCUGGUCUAGAGGAUGAUCAGCCACACUGGGACUGAGACACGGGCCAGACUCCUACGGAGGCAGCAGUGAGGAAGUUUCCGCAAUGGGCGAAUGCCUGACGGAGUAAUCCGCGUGAAGGAUGAAGGCCUGUGGGUUGUAUACUUCUUUUCUCAGAGAAAAUUUUGACGGUAUCUGAGAAAUAAGCAUCGGCUAACUCUGUUCCAGCAGCGCGGUAAGACAGAGGAUGCAAGCGUUAUCCGGAAUGAUUGGGCGUAAAGGACUGUAGGUGGUUUGAGACGUCUCUUGUCAAAGAUCAGGGCUUAACCCUGACCGGCAAGAGAAACUAUUAGACUAGAGUUCGGUAGGUACAGACGUAAUCUUGGA
rnacentral:rRNA from 1 species